UUUGACUUAAGUAAUAAUCCUCAAUAAGCUCUAUACCCUUUUUUAAGGAGUCUCGGGAACUCGAUUCAUCUUGAAGUUCAUCGGAAAUAUCGAUAAUUGAUGACGAACCAUCAUCUAUUACAAAUUCCUCGGACGAAACAGAUGCCAAAUCACUGGCAUGAGUGGAGUGUUCGUUUGAAGAAAUAUAAUAAUCGUCUACGAUUUUAAUUUCUUGCGAAGAUAUAUCAUUGUCAGAAGAUACUAGCACCGUACUCUGUUCAGUAGGAUUGGACUUGUAAUCUAUGCCACGAUUUUCAAAAAAGUUGUAGUCAACUUCGGUCAAGGAUUUUGCAUAGUCUUCAAUAGGGAGAGCCAAAUAGCAAUCCGAUAUUUCUUCAUCUUCAGUUGAUCCUAAAUCAGACAAAACUUUAAUCAACAACUCGGUGCUAUCCGCACAAGAUUGUACUUGUGCAUCGAGGUUAUCAACAGUUAUCAAGGUAGAAAAAACCCCUUCCUCAGCAUUGACAACUAAUGACAAUGUCAAAUUUUUUAGCUGAGAUAUUUCAACAUAACCCAAAGAUUUAACAACAAAUUCGAUAGUAUCUUUUAUCGAGAGUCCAGGGAAAUGGAGGGAAGAGUUAAGAAUUUCACGUUUUAACACAGAAGUCUUUCCUUCCAAAACGCUUUGGUUCAAUUUGUCAAUAAUGUAUACUACCGUUUCAGCUGCCAUGAUACGAAUGUUUAAUGGAUUUGAAGCGACAAGUGCAUCAAUUUCAACAUCAAGUGACUUCAAAUAUAGUAAUAACUUCGCCUCAAGCGUCCUAGGAUUCAGACCUAUUAUUGACUCUCUAAGGUCCAACUUAAUAUUAAAUGGAAAAUCAGGAAAUGCUAAGAAUGGAACUUCAGGAUCCUGAGGAAAGUAGGUUUUUAAUAAAUCCGAAAUCCAAGGGCAUGUAGGGUAGUGCUCAUAUCCAAGAUCAGUUAUUUUGA